GCCUCAUUCUCAGAUUUGGCUGAUAAGUUCUCAGCCUUCUUUGCAAGUAGCAAGCGAAUCAGAAAGACUGCGGCCUUUCUCAUGUAACUUCGCUAAGGACCAAAUGAAACCCUACGAGGAUUUAUGACGAGGUUUAACAAAGAAAGGCUUCAAAUACCCGACCUUCACAUCACAACGGCUGUCUUCGCCCUCACUCACACCAUAAGAUGUGAAGCUUUCAAGAUGUCCUUAUCAAAGACCCCGUAGCAGACAGUGACCAAGCUCCUCACCCGAGCUGAAAAAUACAUUAAUAUGGAGGAAACACUGAAUCCAAGGAGAUCUAGUCCUUCCCAUGAAAAGGCUGA
rnacentral:lncRNA from 1 species